ensembl:lncRNA
GCCAUGUGUGUCUGUUGUCACUUGUCGCGUCAUUGUCUUUUGUCACACAUGUCCCUGUCAAUCGUCCUGCCAGCCUUUCGUUCCUGCCAGUCUUUUUGCCCUUAGUUCCUGUGUGUUUUUGCCCCUUGGCCUUUUGCUCGUUUUGACUAUUGAAGUCCUUUUUGUUUUUGAACUCUGCGUUUGAGUCCUGCCUUCCCCGCAUCCCUGACAGGCUCUUUUGUUUGCUCUUACGUCCAUAAUUUUCUUUUGCGUUCUCCCGAGGGCCCGGUCAUCCUGCCUGAUGGCGUUUUUGAUGGUCUCUGUGACAAAUCGGCAUUCAGGUUCCCAGGUGGAUGGAUGAAUGGCUCUGGGGAGAAGCCAGUGUUGUACUUAAAAUGGCCCAGGAUUUUGAGUUGCUGAUGAUGGCGGUUUACAUCUCUUUCCAGCACGCUUUCUUCGUCCUUAUUUAAAGAAAAGGUAAGAAGGGUUAAUAUUCGAGUGGGCCCUGGUGCGAAUGCACUGCUACUAAUUUAACUGAAUCAUCCAUGAGUGUGAGAUGAGCUUGGCUGUGGUUGGUGUCCAAGGAACCUGAUCACUGUUCACCUGAAACAGGUUCUCUUGGAUCCCUUUCAGGGUUCUAGUCUGCUGUCCCAGGAUGCCACUAAUGGCCACCACCAGAGUCCUCUGUCUGGGUUGUAGCUCUGAAGAAAACUGGAGAUGAAAAUUUCUGCCAUAAACACAUUUUUGGCCUGUGCCAGCAGUAUCUUUAGCUGCUUCUUCAUAUACAGUUGUGUAAAAAAGUGUUUGCCCCCUUCCUGAUUUUUUAUUUUUGCAUGUUUGUCACACUUAAAUGUUUCAAAUUAGACAAAGAUAACAAGUAAACACAAAAUGCAGUUAUUAUUAUGGGGAAAAAAUUCCAAACUUGCAUCGCCCUGUGUGAAAAAAGGAUUUCUCCCUAAACCUAAUAACUGGUUGGGCCACCCUUAGCAGCAACCGCUGCAAUCCAGCGUUUGUGAUAACUGGCAAUGAGUCUUUUACAGGGCUGUGCAGGAAUUUUGGCCCACUUCUCUUCGCAGAAUUGUUUUAAUUAAGUUUUUGAGCAUGAACCGCCUUUUUAAGAUCAUGCCACAGCAUCUCAAUUGGAUUCCGGUCGGGACUUUGACUAGGCCACUCAGUCUUCAUUUAGUUUUUCUUAAGCCAUUCAGAGGUGGAGUUGUCCUGCUGCAGAACCCAAGUGCGCUUCAGCUUGAGGUCACGCAAAACAGCCCCAGACAUCACACCACCACCACCAUAUUUUACUGUUGGUAUAAUGUUCCUUUUCUGAAAUGGCGUGUUACUUCUACGCCAGUUGUAAUGGGACAUAUGUCAGCGUAUCGUACCUUAUUUAACCUGCAUGCUUUUUGUGUGAGUUGUAAGGACUGCUGUCCCUUAUGUAAACUUCCUUUAGCUGACAAAAUAACUAUUGCUUCUACCUGUAAAUACUUGAUAAUCAACUGGCGAACCAGGUGCAAGGCGGAGUGUGGCUGAUUGGUGGAGUUUAAAAGAGCUAACGACUGCCACUACGGGGCGGACGGAGGACGAGGAGCAGCACGGACUGAACAGAGGAUAAUCUGGAUAGGAGAAACCUUGGCCACCCAGAAGAUUGGAUUGUUCCAGAUGGAUAUGUGACUGGUUAGAGGAUUGUGAUUUUAAGAGAAACAGUCUCUACGAUUUUAAGAUAUAACUUAUUCCUACCUUUUUAUAAAAAUAAAACUAUUUUCAUAGAUAUAUCCCUUCUGGUCUCUGUGUCCUGGGUGUACCGAUAUAAGAGGGGCCAUACGGCUGACACCUACACGUUCCAAAAAGUUCAACUUUUGUCCCGUCAGUCCAGAGUAUUUUCCCAAAAGUCUUUGGAAUCAUAAAGAUGUUUUCAGGCAAAACUGAGACGAGCCUUUGUUCUUUUUUCUCAGCAGUGGUUUUCGUCAAAUUCCAUUUUUUGUCUUUUUUAUUUUAUUUUUUUAUGGUGGAGUCAUGAACACUAACCUUGAUUGAAGCACGCGAGUCCUGCAGUUCUUUGGAUGUUGUUCUGGAGUCUUUUGUGACCUCUUUGAUGAGUCGUCGCUGCGCUCCUGGGGUAAUACUGGUCGGCCUCCUGGGAAGGUUCACCACUGUUCCAUGUUUUUGCGAUUUAUGGAUUGUGGCUUGCUGGAGUCCCAAAGCUUUAGAAAUGGCUUUGUAACCUUUUACAGACUGUCUGAUCUCAAUUCCUUUUUCUUAUUUGUUCCUGAAUUUCUCUGGAUCGCAGCAUGAUUUCUAGCUUUUGAGGAUCUUUUGGUUUACUUUGUCAGGCAUUAAGUGAUUUCUUGAUUUCUUGAACAGGUGGGGCAGUGAUCAGGCCUGGGUGUCGCUAGAGAUAUUGAACUCCGCUUUCCAAACAUGUGAUAAACCAGUUAGUUCAUGUUUUAACAGGGGGGCAAUUCCUUUUUCACGCAGGGCCAUGUAGGUUUGGAUUUUUUUUUCUCCCCAUAAUAACUUUCAUUUAAAAACUGCAUUUUGUGUUAUCUUUGUCUAAUAUGUAAAUGUGUUUAAUCUGAAACAUUAAAGUGUGACAAACAUGCAAAAAAAUAAGGGGGCCAACUAUUUUUCACACUAACGUCAGCUGCUGGUGAAGACGAAGGAUCUCAAAAUUUGCUUCUACUCCAUCAGUUGGUGCAACGACGUAACUGCGAUCCUACAACACUGUUCUCCUGAUCCGGAAUCUUCAACUGUAAACUUUUACUCCCCCUGUAAGUUCGCUUAAUUCAUCAGCGGACACUCGCCGACCAGAUACGGCGUGUGGAGUGGACCUACCCAGACUCCUUAGUUAUUGUCCUUGGGGACUUUAACAGAGGAAAUCUCAGCCAUGUUGCCAGUUGGUUUAACCAAUAUGAAGCCUUAGGUUGAUAGGAUGGUGACCAAUUGGAUAAAUGAGUGAAUGUGGGGUGCGAUACGGAGCGGUAGUAAUAAACAUGUCUACCUUGGUACACAGCCUGUCUCACGCACAUUAUUAAGCAAACAUUGUGGAUCAACACACCUUUACAUGAGAAUGACGCGUGUUUGCAGUGGACG